rnacentral:rRNA from 1 species
UUUGGAGGGCAAGUCUGGUGCCAGCAGCCGCGGUAAUUCCAGCUCCAAUAGCGUAUAUUAAAGUUGUUGCAGUUAAAAAGCUCGUAGUUGAACCUUGGGUCUGGCUGGCCGGUCCGCCUCACCGCGAGUACUGGUCCGGCUGGACCUUUCCUUCUGGGGAACCUCAUGGCCUUCACUGGCUGUGGGGGAACCAGACCUUAAUUA